rnacentral:rRNA from 1 species
AUUGAACGCUGGCGGCAGGCCUAACACAUGCAAGUCGAGCGGGGUUUUCGGACCCAGCGGCGGACGGGUGAGCAAUGCGUAGGAAGCUGCACGAUAGAGGGGGAUACCAGGUGGAAACGACUGUUAAUACUGACUCAUGUCUACGGACCAAAGUGUGGGACCUACGGGCCACAUGCUAUCGGUCGCGCCUACGUGGGAUUAGGUAGUUGGUGAGGUAAUGGCUCACCAAGGCGACGAUCUCUAGCUGGUUCGCGAGCAUGACCAGGCACACUGGAACUGAGACACGGUCCAGACUCCUACGGGAGGCAGCAGUGGGGAAUGUUGGACAAUGGGCGCAAGCCUGAUCCAGCCAUGCCGCGUGGGGGAAGAAGGCCUUCGGGUUGUAAAGCACUUUCAGCGGGAAGGAAAGGGUGUGUGUUAAUAGGGCGCGCCUUUGACGUUACUCGAAGAAGAAGCACCGGCUAACUCUGUGCCAGCCGCCGCGGUAAAAC